CCUACGGGUGGCAGCAGUGAGGAAUAUUGGUCAAUGGGCGCGAGCCUGAACCAGCCAAGUCGCGUGAGGGAAGACGGUCCUAUGGAUUGUAAACCUCUUUUGUCGGGGAGCAAAAGACGCCACGCGUGGCGUUCCGAGAGUACCCGAAGAAAAAGCAUCGGCUAACCCGGUGCCAGCAGCCGCGGUAAUACGGAGGAUGCGAGCGUUAUCUGGAUUUAUUGGGUUUAAAGGGUGCGCAGGGGGAAGGUAAAGUCAGCGGGAAAAUUGAGAGGCUCAACCUCUUCGAGCCGUUGAAACUGGUUUUCUUGAGUGAGUGAGAGGGAUGCGGAAUGCGUGGUGUAGCGGUGAAAUGCAUAGAGAUCACGCAGAACUCCGAUUGCGAAGGCAGCAUACCGGCGCUCAACUGACGCUCAUGCACGAAAGUGUGGGUAUCGAACAGGAUUAGAUACCCUUGUAGUC
rnacentral:rRNA from 1 species